GCGAAAAUUAGGUAAACAUACAUUUGUCCGACUACGUCCGUCGUUGCUAACCUUUCUUCAGCAACAAAAUUUAAAUAAUUUGUUUCUUUACUUUAAUAUCAUUUCGUGCUGGCCGCCAUCGUUGUUUUUCUUUUAUUUCGCCCCAGUCCUCUAGCGGCUCUAGCUUUCAAACGCAACAUACCCCCGAACAAUGGGAGAAUCCCAUUUAAUCUUUAAAGCCUUCGACAGGAUAAAUAACACGAGCUUCGUAAUUGGGCGUCUAUAAUUUCCAGUUGCUGUUUUCACUUCCACAUUUCUGAUUACUCCGUCAUCCCCUGGGAAUACUCGGAUAACUCUCCCAGUUUGCCGGUUUCCCCGUACAGCAUUAGGAUCAGCGAUGAUAACCCAGUCAUCUACACGAACAUUUCUAUUCUUUCUGUUCCAUUGCUUUCUUGGUACUAAGUAAGGCAAUACUUCUACAGACCAUCUCUUCCAAAACGACUUAAACGAGCCUAUGUUCCUUUGACAGAAUUCAAAUCGGUGGCGUGGAUUGUUAGCUUUGCGGAACGGUCCUUGUGGAACAGUGUUGGUG